rnacentral:ncRNA from 12 species
CGCAGAGGGUUCUGAUAACAAAGAACCUAGAUAGCCGCAUCGGUAUUAUAGGAUGUAGUCGGUGAGCCGGAAUGCCUGCAUCGUAAGCCUAUAAGUAAAUCCCACAG